CAGCUAACCUACAUCUGCUAUC
rnacentral:miRNA from 2 species